AGAGUUUGAUCAUGGCUCAGAACGAACGCUGGCGGCGUACCUCAUGCAUGCAAGUCGAGCGCGAAAGUCACCUUCGGGUGGCCAGUAGAGCGGCGCACGGGUGAGUAACACGUGGGUAACCUGCCCUGGAGUUCGGGACAACCCGGGGAAACCCGAGCUAAUACCGGAUACGGCGGGGAGAUCCUCGGAUCUUCUUGAGAAAGGUGGCCUCUUCUUGAAAGCUACCGCUCCUGGAUGGACCCGCGGCCCAUUAGCUUGUUGGUGAGGUAACGGCUCACCAAGGCUGUGAUGGGUAGCUGAUCUGAGAGGAUGAUCAGUCACACUGGAACUGAGACACGGUCCAGACUCCUACGGGAGGCAGCAGCAGGGAAUUUUGUCCAAUGGGCGAAAGCCUGAGACAGUAACGCCGCGUGUGGGAUGAAGGCCCUCGGGUCGUAAACCACUGUCAGAGGGGAAGAACAGGCCGGUGGGUAAUAUUCACCGGUCCUGACGGUACCUUCAAAGGAAGCACCGGCUAACUCCGUGCCAGCAGCCGCGGUAAUACGGAGGGUGCAAGCGUUGUUCGGAAUUACUGGGCGUAAAGCGCGUGUAGGCGGUCGAGUAAGUCGAAUGUGAAAUCCCUGGGCUCAACCCGGGAACUGCAUCCGAAACUACUUGGCUAGAGUCCCGGAGAGGAAGGCAGAAUUCCCAGUGUAGGGGUGAAAUCCGUAGAUAUUGGGAGGAAUACCAGUGGCGAAGGCGGCCUUCUGGACGGUGACUGACGCUGAGACGCGAAAGCGUGGGGAGCAAACAGGAUUAGAUACCCUGGUAGUCCACGCCGU
rnacentral:rRNA from 1 species